GACGAACGCUGGCGGCGUGCUUAACACAUGCAAGUCGAACGGUGAAGCGCCUUCCUUUUUGGUGGGUGUGGAUGAGUGGCGAACGGGUGAGUAACACGUUAGUAACCUGCCCCCUUUUUCUUGAUAACCGCAUGAAAGUGCUGCUAAUGCGGGAUAUUUUGGGUCUGUCGCAUGAUGGGUCUGGGAAAGAUUUUGUUUCGGUGGGGGAUGGGCUCGCGGCGUAUUAGCUUGUUGGUGAGGUGAUGGCUUACCAAGGCGGCGAUGGGUAGCCGGCCUGAGAGGAGGGUGGGCGGUAACAGUGGUGAGAAGACGCGCACCAGACUACGAGGGGAGGCAGUAGUGGAGAUUACGGCACAAGGGGAGGACGGAUGAUGCAGCGACGCCGCGUGGGUGAUGGAGGCCGUCGCGUUGUGAACUGUUAUCGCGAGUGAAGCAGGGUUGAAGUGUCUGUGGGCGGGUUGACGGUAGCUGGAUAGGAAGCGACGGCUAACUACGUG
rnacentral:rRNA from 1 species